rnacentral:rRNA from 1 species
AUUGAACGCUGGCGGCAGGCCUAACACAUGCAAGUCGAACGCGUGGCGGACGGGUGAGUAAUGUCUGGGAAACUGCCUGAUUGUGGGGGAUAACUACUGGAAACGGUAGCUAAUACCGCAUACCCUCAGAUGGGCCCAGAUGGGGUUAGCUUGUUGGUGGGGUAACGGCUCACCAAGGCAACGAUCCCUAGCUGGGCUGUGUGGGUGACCAGCCACACUGUAACGGAGAGGAGGUACAGUCUACUCCCGGAGGCGACGGUGGAGAGUGGAGCACAAUGGGCGCGAGCCUGAUCCGGCCAAGCCGAGUAGAUGAAAGGGGCAUGCGGGUUGGGGAGUACAUUCAGCGGUAUAGCGUUACCCGAUGAAGAAGGACCGGCUAACUCCGUGCCAGCAGCCGCGGUAAUAC